GCAGUCGUGGCCUAGUGGAUGAGGUGAUUGACUCGAGAUCAAAAAGGUCGCCGGUUCAAUCCCUACCCCACUGGG